AUGAAGAAGAAGGCCCGAAGGAGGCCUCCUCGCUGCGCCGAAUGCCCAAACGCACACACGGGCCGCCUGUCCGCUCUCCUGUCCUCCGCCGGCCGCCGCCCUUCACCGGAGCGCUGUGGCCCCCACGCCGUCCUGCCCGGUCUGCCCCCGCCGCUUCGCACAACCGUGCCCUGCCGCCGUUCCCCGGCCCCUCGGCAGCCCGCCUUCGCGCCGGUCAUUUUUGGCCCCGUCCGCCGGGCUCCUGCCGUCGUGCCACCUGGUACCAGGACCGCCGCCCUGCUACCGCCGGCCAGGCACCGACAUCCGACGCCGAGGGCACGCUGCUCGCCUCCGUUGCCGCUGGACAUGGCAGCUACCAAGCCCGGGGCGGCCGCCAUGGCGCAAUGUCAGGAGGGGUCGGCGGAGGAGCAUCGGCUGCGGGCGGCGCUGCGCCACCUGCAAGCGGAGGCCGGAGUGCUUGAGCGCCUGGUCUACAAGCACCGGAACCAGCACCGCGGUGCCGCCUACUUCCAGUACCUCCUCAAGGUGCGGAGGGACCUGAAGCUGUUGCUUGGUGCCAAUCUUGCAGAGGUCAUCAACGCCGUGUUCCCGGUCAUCACCUGUCGUAAGCCGGCCAACACCAUUCUUGUUCCGAACAGGCAGGGUAAGAGGAAGCCUGGUGCAAACCAUAGCCACUAUAAGAGGCUUUUGGGGGUUGCCCGUUUGCUGUCCCAGAUGGCUGAACCUGUUAUGAAGGGAGCAGUUCAGAUCAGCUUUUUACUUGCUAGAUCUUUCUUCGUAGAACUUUGCACUGCAGUGCUUGCUUUGCUUGCAAGACUGAGGGUCCUGACCCAACAGAUGUUACUUGAUGUUGUAUCAGUAUACAACAAGGUUACUGAUCUUACGGAUAAAAAGCAGGCUGUUAAGAUCAGUAUUGAUAAAGUGCAGGCUUUCAGAGAGUACUACCCCUCGAGCAACGAUCCCAGUACUAUCCUGGAGUGUGUAUGGGUGAAAGAUAAAUUUGUUUUGCAUGAAAAGACCAAAGCUAGCAGUCAGAAAACCCAAGAUGAGGAUAUGAAGUCGUGCACUCCAGAUUCAUCAAUCCAGUAUGAGACCCUUGGACUUGUUAGUGAAGAGAUGGAAGACCUUGAUGGAGCAAACACCCCAGCCAAGCAACAUCAUACUUCUCUGGCUGACCACCCAGAUGAAGCCACCCAUUGCGGCGAUGCUGGAGAUUCUCACAGUGGGAGGCAACUACCAAACGAUCAACACACUCCGGGUUCUCUUCUUGGCACGCCCGCUGCUGCGCCGACUCCACGCAGAGAUGUCAAGCCUGAUACGAGGAAGAGAGUGGCAUUCAUCGCGGUGGGGAAAACAUAA
rnacentral:rRNA from 1 species